rnacentral:tRNA from 1 species
GGAGGGGUGGUCGAGUGGUUUAAGGCAGCGGUCUUGAAAACCGCCGUAGAGCAAUCUACCGUGGGUUCAAAUCCCACCCCCUCCG